AGACAUGAAAGAUGAAGGCAAAAAGAGAAGAGGAGAUCAUUGAAGCCUGGUGUCCAACAUUCGGUUCUGGAAGGAUGGGGUUGCGGGACUGGAGCAGGCCGUCCUCGUCUCUCUGACCGAAAGCCCCUACGAGACCUGGGGAGCACCCAGGGGCAGCACCUUGUGGGCGCAGCAUCCUGUAGCAUCCUCGGACCUGCACCUAACACAGCUCGAACCCCGGGAGUGGCACAACCCAAUCAGAGAAAGCGCCA